GAGUUUGAUCCUGGCUCAGAUUGAACGCUGGCGGCAGGCCUAACACAUGCAAGUCGAGCGGAUGACGGGAGCUUGCUCCUUGAUUCAGCGGCGGACGGGUGAGUAAUGCCUAGGAAUCUGCCUGGUAGUGGGGGACAACGUUUCGAAAGGAACGCUAAUACCGCAUACGUCCUACGGGAGAAAGCAGGGGACCUUCGGGCCUUGCGCUAUCAGAUGAGCCUAGGUCGGAUUAGCUAGUUGGUGGGGUAAUGGCUCACCAAGGCGACGAUCCGUAACUGGUCUGAGAGGAUGAUCAGUCACACUGGAACUGAGACACGGUCCAGACUCCUACGGGAGGCAGGCAGUGGGGAAUAUUGGACAAUGGGCGAAAGCCUGAUCCAGCCAUGCCGCGUGUGUGAAGAAGGUCUUCGGAUUGUAAAGCACUUUAAAGUUGGGAGGAAGGGCAGUAAGUUAAUACCUUGCUGUUUUGACGUUACCGACAGAAUAAGCACCGGCUAACUCUGUGCCAGCAGCCG
rnacentral:rRNA from 1 species